UUCAAGUUUAAAUAAUAAUUAUCAAAUUAAGUAUUACGUGGCGUGCCUAGGACUACUAAAUAACGGAAUUCUCCUUAAUUUUACUUUUUUUUUUGGUCAAUCGGUAGAAGAAUAUUUACAAAUAUCAAAAGAUUAUAUUAAACUGGACAAUCAGUCCAACAAGAAAAACAAGCCCAACAAUAACAACCAUUACAAGAAAAAGUCCAUAAUAGGAAAUAAAUAACCAAUAGUUGCCUACGACAAGAAUUAACCCUGACCUUUUAGUUGAGAGUGUACAAGAGUGACCCGUAAAUAACUUCUCCAUAUUGUUUUUGUGACAAUGAUGACAGUGAUCAUACGGUCCAGAGUACAUCUGUACAGCAUCCUAUUUAUACCAACCUAUUGUGGAACAUUUGCUAGAUAAUUAAGGUAGUACUGGUAGUGCCCAAUAUGGAAGUAACAGUAAGCUCUAUUGUUACCUCCAUUGCUUUGGUAACUUUCCUAACAUGUGCGUGGAGGGUAGUGAACUGGGUGUGGUUGAGGCCAAAGCAGAAAGAGAGGUGGCUGAGAGAGCAAGGUUUCAAGGGAAAUCCAUACAAACUGUUGUAUGGAGACACCAAAGAGAUGAUAUCAAUGAUGAGGGAAUCAAGAUCCACAUCCAUGGAUUCAUCCUCAGACGAUCUUAUCCCACACGUCCUACGGUUCCACCAUCAUAACAUCAACCUUCAUGGCAAACAUUACUUCCAAUGGCUGGGCCCAACACCACAAGUAAGUAUUGCAGAUCCUAAACUGAUAAAGGAGAUCUUGUUUAACUAUUAAGUCUUUCAUAAAAAAGUGCAAAACCCACUUGCCAAGUUCCUAGUGAGAGGGGUUUUGUUGUGUGAGGGCGAGAAAUGGGCUAAGCACAGAAACAUUCUCAACCCAGCCUUUCAUCUAGAAAAGUUGAAGCAUAUGGUACCAGCAAUGUGCUUAAGUUGUUGUGAGAUGAUAAGCAAAUGGGAAGUGCUAGUCUCAGAAAAAGAGUCAUGUGAGGUUGAAGUAUGGCCUUAUCUUCAGAAUGUGACAGGCGAUGUGAUUUCUCGGACAGCAUUUGGUAGUAACUAUGAAGAAGGAAAAAAAAUAUUCCAACUCCAAACUGAACUAGGUGACCUUAUAAUCCAAUUCGCACAGUCAAUUUACAUUCCAGGAUGGAGGUAUGUCUGAAAUAUAUUUAUUUAUAUAUAUUAGUACUAUUGCAUUACAA